rnacentral:rRNA from 1 species
GACUUGACAUCUCCUGAAUUACUCUUAAUCGAGGAAGUCCCUUCGGGGACAGGAAGACAGGUGGUGCAUGGUUGUCGUCAGCUCGUGUCGUGAGAUGUUGGGUUAAGUCCCGCAACGAGCGCAACCCUUAUUGUUAGUUGCUACUAUUAAGUUAAGCACUCUAACGAGACUGCCGCGGUUAACGUGGAGGAAGGUGGGGAUGACGUCAAAUCAUCAUGCCCCUUAUGUCUAGGGCUACACACGUGCUACAAUGGCUGGUACAACGAGCAGCAAACCCGCGAGGGGGAGCAAAACUUGAAAGCCAGUCCCAGUUCGGAUUGUAGGCUGAAACUCGCCUACAUGAAGUUGGAGUUGCUAGUAAUCGCGAAUCAGCAUGUCGCGGUGAAUACGUUCCCGGGUCUUGUACACACCGCCCGUCACACCAUGAGAGCCGGUAACACCCGAAGCCCGUGAGGUAACCGUAAGGAGCCAGCGGUCGAAGGUGGGAUUGGUGAUUGGGGUGAAGUCGUAACAAGGUAGCCGUAGGAGCACCUGCGGCUGGAUCACCUCCUUUCUAGGGA